UACGUAGGGUGCAAGCGUUUGUCCGGAAUUAUUGGGCGUAAAGAGCUCGUAGGCGGUCUGUCGCGUCGGCUGUGAAAACCUGGGGCUUAACUCCGGGCUUGCAGCCGAUACGGGCAGACUAGAGUUCGGCAGGGGAGACUGGAAUUCCUGGUGUAGCGGUGAAAUGCGCAGAUAUCAGGAGGAACACCGGUGGCGAAGGCGGGUCUCUGGGCCGUAACUGACGCUGAGGAGCGAAAGCGUGGGGAGCGAACAGG
rnacentral:rRNA from 1 species